rnacentral:rRNA from 1 species
AAAUUGAAGAGUUUGAUCAUGGCUCAGAUUGAACGCUGGCGGCAGGCCUAACACAUGCAAGUCGAGCGGCAGCGGAAAGUAGCUUGCUACUUUGCCGGCGAGCGGCGGACGGG